UCCUGCUGGAUCAUCAAGAAAGGUCAGGGCUUAUGGGCUUCUAAGUACUGUGUGGGAUCCAUGAGGCUGUCAAAGCUCUGAUGUGGGACUCUUCUUCUUUCAGAUGCUUGUGGGAAGAGAUGCUGUAGGUGAGCAGGAAGUGGCAGGUCUGGGUAAUUGGUGGGCAUCUGGGACCCUGGGGUGCUGCUCCUUUUUCAGUGUGAGCUUUGUCAGUGGAUUCCCUCGUGUAGAGGAGGGAUUGCAGUACAAUAGGAGAUGGAGGCACUUUUCCCUGGGAAUAUCUCCAGUGGCCCUUGGCUGCUUUGUGGAACCUCAAUGCCUUUUCUCUCUGCUCUCUCUGUCUCUCUCCAUGGUGCUGGUAGUGCUGAGGGAUCUCCUGCCGACCACGAUUCUUACUGUAAGUUUCAGUCCCUUGCACCCUUCCUUUCUAGGCAUUGAGUACAAUGCAGAGAUGACCCCAAAUGUUGUAUUUUAAGUCAGUAUUAUCUCCACGUGCUCAUGACAAUCAGUAUCGUGCAGAAGCAAAACCCGCCUCCCUACAGCACAGGGCAUUUUCUUGGGGCUGCAAGGCAGACCUCAGGAGCCACUGUAUGAAGCUGUAAGGGUGAUGAUUUUAGCAGAGGAUGCCCACGGGUGCAUUUGUGCUGGUGGCUGGGGAAGGUGUCUCCCCUGCUGAUGGCUGGGCACUCAUUCAGGAUCUCCCUGCAGAUGCCAAUGUGGAUGAAAUGAGGAGAGUGAAGGCCUCUGGAAUACAAAGCUCUGAAGUUUGUACAUAGGACAGAAUGUCAGAAAGUGAGAGGCGAUGCACCCCUUUCUCUGCAAGAACAAGGGGGAAAGCACAGCAGAGGUGACACUUAUCAAUAAAAGCAUGAAAUCCUUCUGCAUCAGAA